rnacentral:rRNA from 1 species
GACGUAGGGCGCGAGCGUUGUCCGGAUUUAUUGGGCGUAAAGAGCUCGUAGGCGGCUUGUCGCGUCGACUGUGAAAACCCGCGGCUCAACCGUGUGGUCUGCAGUCGAUACGGGCAGGCUAGAGUUCGGUAGGGGAGACUGGAAUUCCUGGUGUAGCGGUGAAAUGCGCAGAUAUCAGGAGGAACACCAAUUGCGAAGGCAGCUCGCUGGGACGUUACUGACGCUGAUGCGCGAAAGCGUGGGGAGCAAACAGG